rnacentral:lncRNA from 1 species
GACUGGAGUUUUACUUCUUUCAGCAGCCACUCCUCCUCACAUCCCGUUGUCCACACUUGAUGAUUCCUAACACUGAAAGCAUCUCCACAUAAUUGUAGUCCUUGCAUUUCUGCUUUUGUUCAUUAUUUAGAUGGAUGCAGGGAUAUACACCGUGCUGAACACAGGCCUAGAUGGCAGGAGAUGAAGUAAGACUGCCUCUACAUGGCUGGAAAAUCCCAGUAGAAGCCAUCACAAGAACCCAGGCUGAGGACAAUCAGGAUGAA